rnacentral:rRNA from 1 species
CGCGGCCUAUCAGCUUGUUGGUGAGGUAAUGGCUCGCCAAGGCAACGACGGGUAGCCGGCCUGAGAGGGCGACCGGCCACACUGGGACUGAGACACGGCCCAGACUCCUACGGGAGGCAGCAGUGGGGAAUAUUGGGCAAUGGGCGCAAGCCUGACCCAGCGACGCCGCGUGAGGGAUGAAGGCCUUCGGGUUGUAAACCUCUUUCAGUAGGGAAGAAGCGAAAGUGACGGUACCUAAAGAAGAAGCACCGGCUAACUAUGUGCCAGCAGCCGCGGUAAUACAUAGGGUGCAAGCGUUGUCCGGAAUUAUUGGGCGUAAAGAGCUCGUAGGUCGUUUGCCGCGUCGAUUGUGAAAAUCUGAGGCUCAACCUCAGACCUGCAGUCGAUACGGGCAAACUAGAGUGUGGUAGGGGAGACUGGAAUUCCUGGUGUAGCGGUGGAAUGCGCAGAUAUCAGGAGGAACACCAAUGGCGAAGGCAGGUCUCUGGGCCAUAACUGACACUGAGGAGCGAAAGCGCGGGGAGCGAACAGGAUUAGAUACCCUGGUAGUCCGCGCCGUAAACGGUGGGCACUAGCUGUGAGGACCUUCCACGGUCUUCGCUACGCAGCAAACGCAUUAAGUGCCCCGCCUGGGGAGUACGG